UACGUAGGGUGCGAGCGUUAAUCAGAAUUACUGGGCGUAAAGUGUGCGCAGGCGGCCGCGCAAGUCGAGUGUGAAAGCCCCGAGCUUAACUUGGGAAUUGCGCUCGAAACUACGUGGCUGGAGUGUGGCAGAGGAAGGUGGAAUUCCAGGUGUAGCGGUGAAAUGCGUAGAGAUCUGGAGGAACACCGAUGGCGAAGGCAGCCUUCUGGGCCAACACUGACGCUCAUGCACGAAAGCGUGGGGAGCAAACAGG
rnacentral:rRNA from 1 species